UGGGGAAUCUUCCGCAAUGGACGAAAGUCUGACGGAGCAACGCCGCGUGAGUGAAGAAGGUUUUCGGAUCGUAAAACUCUGUCUUUUGGGGCGAACGUGAGUAUGGUGAACAAUCAUAGUCAGUGACGGUACCAAAGGAGGAAGCCACGGCUAACUACGUGCCAGCAGCCGCGGUAAUACGUAGGUGGCAAGCGUUGUCCGGAAUUAUUGGGCGUAAAGAGCGCGUAGGCGGGAUAGUCAGUCUGUUGUAAAAGUGCGGGGCUCAACCCCGUGAUGGCAAUGGAAACAGCUAUUCUUGAGUGCAGGAGAGGAAAGUGGAAUUCCCAGUGUAGCGGUGAAAUGCGUAGAUAUUGGGAGGAACACCAGUGGCGAAGGCGACUUUCUGGACUGUGUCUGACGCUGAGGCGCGAAAGCCAGGGGAGCGAACGGGAUUAGAUACCCCGGUAGUCCUGGCCGUAAACGAUGGGUACUAGGUGUGGGAGGUAUCGACCCCUUCCGUGCCGGAGUUAACGCAAUAAGUACCCCGCCUGGGGAGUACGGUCGCAAGACUGAAACUCAAAUGAAUUGACGGGGUCAUAGCUGUUUCCUG
rnacentral:rRNA from 1 species